rnacentral:lncRNA from 1 species
GUCAGGAAUUGUGAAAAACUGGUGAAUGUAAACUUCCGACUUCAACUGUAUAACAACAUAUCAACUGUUACUGUCUCACCCCUAAACUAUGAGACUGCCUUUAACACUGGAUUUACGCUAUGUCAUACCAAUACUACUGUGUUACGUACAUGAUGACUGGUGCAGAGAGACAUGGUGCAGUAGGAUUUAAUGGAGCAACAACAUGGGAUUUCCCUUAAUAGAGAGAGCGCGAGAGAGAGAGAGAGAGGCAAAGGCAAAGAGAGAGAGAGGCAAAGGCAGAGAGAGAGAAAGAGAGGCAAAGGCAGAGAGAGAGAGAGGCAAAGGCAGAGAGAGAGAGAGGCAAAGAGAAAGAGGCAAAGGCAGAGAGAGAGAGAGGCAAAGGCAGAGAGAGAGAGAGAGGCAAAGGCAGAGAGAGAGAGAGAGAGAGAGAGAGAGAGAGGCAAAGGCAGAGAGAGAGAGAAAGGCAGAGAGAGAGAGAGAGAGAGAGAGAGAGAGAGCUGAUGAAAAUGUUCUUGAGAGCUGGAGAAGUAAUUGCUAAGCUAAGGUUAGUAAUUUUGCGGUAUUAAAUUACCUGUCAGUAUCUAAAUGAAGUAGUUCUUCAGCUCUGCCCAAACUCACAGCUCCCUCCCUCCAUCUGCUCCUCUACUGAGGCUCUCAAGGUGGUGUAGCGGUACCCGUGUAAGGCAGUAUUUCUCAAGAUGGUGUAGCGGUACCCGUGUAAGGCAGUAUUUCUCAAGGUGGUGUAGCGGUACCCGUGUAAGGCAGUAUUUCUCAAGGUGGUGUAGCGGUACCCGUGUAAGGCAGUAUUUCUCAAGGUGGUGUAGCGGUACCCGUGUAAGGCAGUAUUUCUCAAGGUGGUGUAGCGGUACCCGUGUAAGGCAGUAUUUCUCAAGGUGGUGUAGCGGUACCCGUGUAAGGCAGUAUUUCUUAAGGUGGUGUAGCGGUACCUGUGUAAGGCAGUAUUUCCCGAGUGGUGCAGCAGUCUAAGGCACUGCAUCUCAGUGCUUGAGGCGUCAUUACAGACACCCUGGUUUGAAUCCAGGCUGUAUCACAAUCGGCCGUGAUUGG